CGAACGAGAGAAUUGCUAGCUUGCUAAUAAUUCUCUAGUGGCGCACGGGUGAGUAACACGUGAGUAACCUGCCCCCGAGAGCGGGAUAGCCCUGGGAAACUGGGAUUAAUACCGCAUAGUAUCGAAAGAUUAAAGCAGCAAUGCGCUUGGGGAUGGGCUCGCGGCCUAUUAGUUAGUUGGUGAGGUAACGGCUCACCAAGGCGAUGACGGGUAGCCGGUCUGAGAGGAUGUCCGGCCACACUGGAACUGAGACACGGUCCAGACACCUACGGGUGGCAGCAGUCGAGAAUCAUUCACAAUGGGGGAAACCCUGAUGGUGCGACGCCGCGUGGGGGAAUGAAGGUCUUCGGAUUGUAAACCCCUGUCAUGUGGGAGCAAAUUAAAAAGAUAGUACCCAAGAGGAAGAGACGGCUAACUCUGUGCCAGCAGCCGCGGUAAUACAGAGGUCUCAAGCGUUGUUCGGAAUCACUGGGCGUAAAGCGUGCGUAGGCUGUUUCGUAAGUCGUGUGUGAAAGGCGCGGGCUCAACCCGCGGACGGCACAUGAUACUGCGAGACUAGAGUAAUGGAGGGGGAACCGGAAUUCUCGGUGUAGCAGUGAAAUGCGUAGAUAUCGAGAGGAACACUCGUGGCGAAGGCGGGUUCCUGGACAUUAACUGACGCUGAGGCACGAAGGCCAGGGGAGCGAAAGGGAUUAGAUACCCCUGUAGUCCUGGCAGUAAACGGUGCACGCUUGGUGUGCGGGGAAUCGACCCCCUGCGUGCCGGAGCUAACGCGUUAAGCGUGCCGCCUGGGGAGUACGGUCGCAAGAUUAAAACUCAAAGAAAUUGACGGGGACCCGCACAAGCGGUGGAGUAUGUGGCUUAAUUCGAUGCAACGCGAAGAACCUUACCUGGGCUUGACAUGUAAUGAACAACAUGUGAAAGCAUGCGACUCUUCGGAGGCGUUACACAGGUGCUGCAUGGCGGUCGUCAGCUCAUGUCCUGAGAUGUUUGGUUAAGUCCAGCAACGAGCGCAACCCCUGUUGCCAGUUACCAGCACGUGAAGGUGGGGACUCUGGCGAGACUGCCCAGAUCAACUGGGAGGAAGGUGGGGACGACGUCAGGUCAGUAUGGCCCUUAUGCCCAGGGCUGCACACGUACUACAAUGCCCAGUACAGAGGGGGCCGAAGCCGCGAGGCGGAGGAAAUCCUGAAAACUGGGCCCAGUUCGGACUGUAGGCUGCAACCCGCCUACACGAAGCCGGAAUCGCUAGUAAUGGCGCAUCAGCUACGGCGCCGUGAAUACGUUCCCGGGUCUUGUACACACCGCCCGUCACAUCAUGGAAGCCGGUCGCACCCGAAGUAUCUGAAGCCAACCGCAAGGAGGCA
rnacentral:rRNA from 2 species